CACCUCAGGCGUUGCUAGGAGACGGCAGCAUGUUCAGGCUCCAGGGAGGAGUGACUAAGGCCUGGCACCUGGUUCCCAGGCUACCGCUGCCCCUCCCUUGGGAUCUAGGAACCCCUGUCAUGGACAAAGACCCUAUUGUGCUGUGCAAACACUGAACCAAAAGAUGGUGUUUUUCUUCUCAACCCACCCAAGCCCUAAAAUGUGCUCAUCUUUGUGAAGAGUGGCAAAAACCAAAAUGAGGGACAGAGCAAAAAUAGCACAAGAGGAAUUUUAAGGAUGUUAUUUAUCAUGGACAGCAAACUUUUACUGGAAGCUUUGAGAAAGAAAAGACUCAACAUACUUUAUCGUUAUAUGUGGGAACCCGAGAAAAUAUUUACAGCUUGCAAAAAGUUCACUAUGUUCCAGUAUAUUAAUAUUUUUGGCCCUCAAUCAAUUUUUCAGUACAGUUUUUCUUCUUGCAGUUGCUUUAUAAAACAUU